GCGGCGUGAUUACAAACCGGACGUCUGAAGGUCAACCGAACCGGCAGAGUCGAUGUGGACCCUUGUCCCCCCGUGGCUGAGUG